GAUGAAGAACGUAGCGAAAUGCGAUACGUAAUGUGAAUUGCAGAAUUCAGUGAAUCAUCGAGUCUUUGAACGCACAUUGCGCCCCCUGGUAUUCCGGGGGGCAUGCCUGUCCGAGCGUCAUUGCUGCCCUCAAGCACGGCUUGUGUGUUGGGCCUCCGUCCUCCUCCCGGGGGACGGGCCCGAAAGGCAGCGGCGGCACCGCGUCCGGUCCUCGAGCGUAUGGGGCUUCGUCACCCGCUCUUGUAGGCCCGGCCGGCGCUUGCCGACACAACAAUCUUUUUUCCAGGUUGACCUCGGAUCAGGUAGGGAUACCCGCUGAACUUAAGCAUAUCAAUAAGCGGAGGA
rnacentral:misc_RNA from 1 species